GCGCCUGUAGCUCAGCUGGAUAGAGUACCUGGCUUCGACCCAGGCGGUCGGGGGUUCGAAUCCCUCCGGGCGCGCCA
rnacentral:tRNA from 1 species